GAUGAAGAACGCAGCGAAAUGCGAUAAGUAAUGUGAAUUGCAGAAUUCAGUGAAUCAUCGAAUCUUUUAACGCACAUUGCGCCCGCCAGUAUUCUGGCGGGCAUGCCUGUUCGAGCGUCAUUUCAACCAUCAAGCCCCCGGCUUGUGUUGGGGACCUGCGGCUGCCGCAGGCCCUGAAAUGCAGUGGCGGGCUCGCUGUCACUCCGAGCGUAGUAGUUACAUCUCGCUCUGGGCGUGCUGCGGGUUCCGGCCGUUAAAAGCCUUAUUUACCCAAGGUUGACCUCGGAUCAGGUAGGAAGACCCGCUGAACUUAAGCAUAUCAAUAAGCGGAGGA
rnacentral:misc_RNA from 1 species